CGAUUAGAGUUUGAUUAUGGCUCAGGACGAAUGCUGGCGGCGUGCUUAACACAUGCAAGUCGAACGAAGAUCUUAAUAAUGAUAGCUUCGGCAGGAAUUUUUUCUAUCUUAGUGGCGGACGGGUGAGUAACGUGUGGGCAACCUGCCCUGCACUGGGGAAUAAUCAUUGGAAACAAUGACUAAUACCGCAUACGGUUCCUGGGAGGCAUCUUCCGGGAAAGAAAGGAUUUAUUCGGUGCAGGAUGGGCCCGCAUCUGAUUACCUAGUUGGUGAGAUAACAGCCCACCAAAGCGACAAUCACUACCCGACCUGAGAGGGUGACCGGCCACAUUGGGACUGAGACACGGCCCAAACUCCUACGGGAGGCAGCAGUGGGGAAUAUUGCACAAUGGGCGAAAGCCUGAUGCAUCAACGCCGCGUGAAUGAAUAAGGGUUUCGGCUCGUAAACUUCUAUCAACAGGGACGAAAGAAAUGACGGUACCUGAAUAACAAGCCCCGGCUAACUACGUGCCAGCAGCCGCGGUAAUACGUAGGGGGCAAGCGUUAUCCGGAAUUACUGGGUGUAAAGGGUGAGUAGGCGGCAUGGUAAGCCAGAUGUGAAAGCCUUGGGCUUAACCCGAGGAUUGCAUUUGGAACUAUCAAGCUAGAGUACAGGAGAGGAAAGCGGAAUUCCUAGUGUAGCGGUGAAAUGCGUAAAUAUUAGGAAGAACACCAUUGGCGAAGGCGGCUUUCUGGAACUGAACUGAAUCUGAAGCACAAAACCGUGGGGAGCGAACAUGAUUAAAUACCCUGGUAAUUCA
rnacentral:rRNA from 1 species